ACAUCAGUGGUGUAAUGGUAACAUAAGCGCCUUCCAAGCACUUGCCCAGGGUUCGAUUCCCUGUUGAUGUA
rnacentral:tRNA from 1 species